rnacentral:rRNA from 1 species
AGCGAACGCUGGCGGCAUGCUUAACACAUGCAAGUCGCACGGUUCGGGCUUCGGUUCGGGCAGUGGCGGACGGGUGAGUAUCGCGUAGGGAUUUGUCGUUGGGUGGGGGAUAACCUUGGGAAACGUGGGGCUAAUACCGCAUGACGCCUGUGGGCCAAAGCAGAGAUGCGCCUGAUGAGGAGCCUGCGUCCGAUUAGUUAGUUGGUGGGGUAAAGCUUACCAAGGCAGCGAUCGGUAGCUGGUCUGAGAGGAUGAUCAGCCACACUGGGACUGAGACACGGCCCAGACUCCGUACGGGAGGC